UGAAAGGUGAUAAUAUCCCAAGUGGGUCAA
rnacentral:sRNA from 1 species